rnacentral:rRNA from 1 species
GGAGAAGGCGCAUGAGAGGGGGAGCCCGGAGAGGGAGCAUGAGACAAGGGCCAGGCCCUACGGGGCGCAGCAGUCGCGAAAACUCCGCAAUACACGAAAGUGUGACGGGGCUAUCCCGAGUGCCGUCCGCUGAGGAUGGCUUUUCCCUAGUGUAUAAAGCUGGGGGAAUAAGGAGAGGGCAAGACUGGUGUCAGCCGCCGCGGUAAUACCAGCUCUCCGAGUGGUGGGGACGCUUAUUGGGCCUAAAGCAUUCGUAGCCUGUUGGGCAAGUCCUCCGUUAAAUCCAACGAUUCAAUCGUUGGGCUGCGGGGGAUACUGUCCGGCUAGGGGGCGGGAGAGGCUGACGGUAUUCUCGGGGUAGGGGUGAAAUCCUAUAAUCCCGGGAGGACCACCAGUGGCGAAGGCUGUCGGCUAGAACGCGCCCGACGGUGAGGGAUGAAAGCUGGGGGAGCGAACCGGAUUAGAUACCCGGGUAGUCCCAGCUGUAAACGAUGCAGGCUAGGUGUUGGCGCGGCUACGUGCCGCCCCAGUGCCGCAGGGAAGCCGUUAAGCCUGCCGCCUGGGAAGUACGGCCGCAAGGCUGAUACUUAAAGGAAUUGGCGGGGG